AAGACCUUAUUUCAUAGGAUCAUUUCUAUAGUAAGUUCUUCACAAGAUACACAAAUGUAGAGCCCAAUAUUAGUAUGGAUGAGUAAAUUAACUGUUUCCUGUCUUUUUGACUUAC